rnacentral:tRNA from 2 species
GCCUCGAUGGUGAAACUGGCAAACACAGGAGACUUAAAAUCUCCCGCCCUGAGAAGGGCUUAGCGGUUCGAGCCCGCUUCGAGGCACCA